rnacentral:lncRNA from 1 species
GAUAAUUUUUUACAAAUUGAUCAUAAAUUUGUAUAUCAUAUUAAUUCAAAAAUAUGAUUUAUAAAUUUAUCAACCAAUCUAUCUUUUAAAUUAUUUCCACUGUAAUAUAUAGAUAGUCCCAAAAUUUUAAAUUUUAAAUUAAUUUUAAAUUUUGAAUUGAAAUAUAGAAUUACAGUAGAUAUUCUGGCAAAAUUUUGGAUAAGUAUGAAAUUUUUUUUUCUAUUUUAGAGAUAAAAAAAUAAAUAAAAUUUUAAUUAAAAUAUAGAUUCACAAUAAAUAUCUUUCGGUUGGCAAAAAAUUUGGAUAAGUGUAUCUUUUUUUCUAUUUUAGAGAUAAACAAAAAUAAAAAAUUUGUUUCAUUACAUUAUUUAUUUUACGUAAU